UACAGAGGUCUCAAGCGUUGUUCGGAUUCAUUGGGCGUAAAGGGUGCGUAGGUGGCGCCAUAAGUCGGGUGUGAAAUCUCGGGGCUUAACUCCGAAACUGCAUUCGAUACUGUGGUGCUUGAGGACUGGAGAGGAGACUGGAAUUCAUGGUGUAGCAGUGAAAUGCGUAGAGAUCAUGAGGAAGACCAGUGGCGAAGGCGGGUCUCGGGACAGUGCCUGACACUGAGGCACGAAGGCCAGGGGAGCAAACGGG
rnacentral:rRNA from 1 species